rnacentral:rRNA from 1 species
GAUGAACGCUGGCGGCGUGCCUAAUACAUGCGAGUCGAGCGAACGGACGAGAAGCUUGCUUCUCUGAUGUUAGCGGCGGACGGGUGAGUAACACGUGGAUAACCUACCUAUAAGACUGGGAUAACUUCGGGAAACCGGAGCUAAUACCGGAUAAUAUUUUGAACCGCAUGGUUCAAAAGUGAAAGGCGGUCUUGCUGUCACUUAUAGAUGGAUCCGCGCUGCAUUAGCUAGUUGGUAAGGUAACGGCUUACCAAGGCAACGAUGCAUAGCCGACCUGAGAGGGUGAUCGGCCACACUGGAACUGAGACACGGUCCAGACUCCUACGGGAGGCAGCAGUAGGGAAUCUUCCGCAAUGGGCGAAAGCCUGACGGAGCAACGCCGCGUGAGUGAUGAAGGUCUUCGGAUCGUAAAACUCUGUUAUUAGGGAAGAACAUAUGUGUAAGUAACUGUGCACAUCUUGACGGUACCUAAUCAGAAAGCCACGGCUAACUACGUG